rfam:Klebsiella pneumoniae ISC21, WGS project CBWQ01000000 data, contig: c10
AAAUUGAAGAGUUUGAUCAUGGCUCAGAUUGAACGCUGGCGGCAGGCCUAACACAUGCAAGUCGAGCGGUAGCACAGAGAGCUUGCUCUCGGGUGACGAGCGGCGGACGGGUGAGUAAUGUCUGGGAAACUGCCUGAUGGAGGGGGAUAACUACUGGAAACGGUAGCUAAUACCGCAUAAUGUCGCAAGACCAAAGUGGGGGACCUUCGGGCCUCAUGCCAUCAGAUGUGCCCAGAUGGGAUUAGCUAGUAGGUGGGGUAACGGCUCACCUAGGCGACGAUCCCUAGCUGGUCUGAGAGGAUGACCAGCCACACUGGAACUGAGACACGGUCCAGACUCCUACGGGAGGCAGCAGUGGGGAAUAUUGCACAAUGGGCGCAAGCCUGAUGCAGCCAUGCCGCGUGUGUGAAGAAGGCCUUCGGGUUGUAAAGCACUUUCAGCGGGGAGGAAGGCGAUAAGGUUAAUAACCUUGUCGAUUGACGUUACCCGCAGAAGAAGCACCGGCUAACUCCGUGCCAGCAGCCGCGGUAAUACGGAGGGUGCAAGCGUUAAUCGGAAUUACUGGGCGUAAAGCGCACGCAGGCGGUCUGUCAAGUCGGAUGUGAAAUCCCCGGGCUCAACCUGGGAACUGCAUUCGAAACUGGCAGGCUAGAGUCUUGUAGAGGGGGGUAGAAUUCCAGGUGUAGCGGUGAAAUGCGUAGAGAUCUGGAGGAAUACCGGUGGCGAAGGCGGCCCCCUGGACAAAGACUGACGCUCAGGUGCGAAAGCGUGGGGAGCAAACAGGAUUAGAUACCCUGGUAGUCCACGCCGUAAACGAUGUCGAUUUGGAGGUUGUGCCCUUGAGGCGUGGCUUCCGGAGCUAACGCGUUAAAUCGACCGCCUGGGGAGUACGGCCGCAAGGUUAAAACUCAAAUGAAUUGACGGGGGCCCGCACAAGCGGUGGAGCAUGUGGUUUAAUUCGAUGCAACGCGAAGAACCUUACCUGGUCUUGACAUCCACAGAACUUUCCAGAGAUGGAUUGGUGCCUUCGGGAACUGUGAGACAGGUGCUGCAUGGCUGUCGUCAGCUCGUGUUGUGAAAUGUUGGGUUAAGUCCCGCAACGAGCGCAACCCUUAUCCUUUGUUGCCAGCGGUCCGGCCGGGAACUCAAAGGAGACUGCCAGUGAUAAACUGGAGGAAGGUGGGGAUGACGUCAAGUCAUCAUGGCCCUUACGACCAGGGCUACACACGUGCUACAAUGGCAUAUACAAAGAGAAGCGACCUCGCGAGAGCAAGCGGACCUCAUAAAGUAUGUCGUAGUCCGGAUUGGAGUCUGCAACUCGACUCCAUGAAGUCGGAAUCGCUAGUAAUCGUAGAUCAGAAUGCUACGGUGAAUACGUUCCCGGGCCUUGUACACACCGCCCGUCACACCAUGGGAGUGGGUUGCAAAAGAAGUAGGUAGCUUAACCUUCGGGAGGGCGCUUACCACUUUGUGAUUCAUGACUGGGGUGAAGUCGUAACAAGGUAACCGUAGGGGAACCUGCGGUUGGAUCACCUCCUUA